rnacentral:rRNA from 1 species
GACGAACGCUGGCGGCGUGCUUAACACAUGCAAGUCGAACGGAAAGGCCCCUUUGGGGGUACUCGAGUGGCGAACGGGUGAGUAACACGUGAGUAACCUGCCCUUGACUUCGGGAUAACUUCAGGAAACUGGGGCUAAUACCGGAUAGGAAUCCUUGCUGCAUGGUGGGGGUUGGAAAGCUUCGGCGGUUUUGGAUGGACUCGCGGCUUAUCAGCUUGUUGGUGGGGUAGUGGCUUACCAAGGCUUUGACGGGUAGCCGGCCUGAGAGGGCGACCGGCCACAUUGGGACUGAGAUACGGCCCAGACUCCUACGGGAGGCAGCGGUGGGGAAUAUUGCACAAUGGGCGGAAGCCUGAUGCAGCAACGCCGCGGGCGGGAUGACGGCCUUCGGGUUGGAAACCGCUUUCAGCAGGGGCGAAGCUUGUGGUGACGGUACCUGCAGAAGAAGCACCGGCUAACUACGUG